UAAAGAUUUUAUCAUGCAAAAUAACAAGUAUAUUUUCAUAGACCAAGAAUGUUACUUAGAGGUAUACAGACAAAACCGAAGAAUUCUGCAACAGCUUGUAAACCAAACAAAUCAGGAACAGAAACAAGAAGCAGAGCAGACAACAGCCAAUGUAAUCAUCAAAAUUAAUAAUAAAUAUAAUGAAAUUAAAACGACAAAAAAGUUGAAACAACGAUUUCUGCAGCAAUAUGGAAAUCAAACAGAUCAGGAAAAGAUUGGAAUAAAUUCUGAUCAGGAAACUGAAUUAAGAUUCAUGAAUGACAUCAAUAAUGGAAGCAGUGUCAUGAACUGGAAGAUUUUAUAUCUUUUUGCCAUUCUACUUCAAUUAAAAUCUUUUUAAAAACG